GACGAACGCUGGCGGCGUGCUUAACACAUGCAAGUCGAGCGGUAAGGCCCUUUCGGGGGUACACGAGCGGCGAACGGGUGAGUAACACGUGGGUGACCUGCCCUCAGCUCUGGGAUAAGCCUGGGAAACCGGGUCUAAUACCGGAUAUGACUCCAUGACGCAUGUUGUGGGGUGGAAAGCCUUGUGCGGCUGAGGAUGGGCCCGCGGCCUAUCAGCUUGUUGGUGGGGUGAUGGCCUACCAAGGCGACGACGGUAGCCGGCCUGAGAGGGCGACCGGCCACACUGGGACUGAGACACGGCCAGACUCCUACGGGAGGCAGCAGUGGGGAAUCUUGCGCAAUGGGCGAAAGCCUGACGCAGCGACGCCGCGUGAGGGAUGACGGCCUGGUGUAACUC
rnacentral:rRNA from 1 species